GCGGGGGUACUCUAGCCCGGUCAAACGUGCUGUUCGCGAGGACAGGAGCGGACCCAAGAGGCAAGGCUUAGGACCUUGUCGCGCAGGCGUUCGCCGGUUCAAAUCCGGCCCCCCGCA
rnacentral:tRNA from 2 species